rnacentral:misc_RNA from 1 species
GUUGAAGAACGCAGCGAAAUGCGAUAAGUAAUGUGAAUUGCAGAAUUCAGUGAAUCAUCGAAUCUUUGAACGCACAUUGCGCCCCCCAGUAUUCUGGCGGGCAUGCCUGUUCGAGCGUCAUUUCAACCAUCAAGCCCUGCUUGUGUUGGGGUCCUGCGGCUGCCCGCAGGCCCUGAAAACCAGUGGCGGGCUCGCUAGUCACACCGAGCGCAGUAGCACAUCUCGCUCAGGGCGUGCGGCGGGCUCCAGCCGUUAAAGCACCCACCUUUCGCAAGGUUGACCUCGGAUCAGGUAGGAAUACCCGCUGAACUUAAGCAUAUCAAUAAGCGGAGGA